rnacentral:lncRNA from 1 species
GGGUGGCUGCGAUAGCUGUGGCCUCCAAGGAAGGGGCCGUCCUCCUCUUCCCAGACUCUAGAUUCUAGAGGGCAACCUCUGUUUGCUCAUGCUGGAGCGUGGCAGGUGCACAAUGUUUCCUUGGGAAUCCUCAGCAGGGCACGUCUGGCUUUUACCACCCAGUUGCUUCGAGCCAGGAGAUGGAGGAGUCAUCUGUUGCACGCUGGAGGCUGGAGCCUGCAGAUGGCAUGGUUCUGUGGCUCACCUCGCUGCAGUUGGUGGCAGAGACAGAGACUGCAGCUUGACCAGAGUGGUGGAGUGGUAGGAGAGUGUCUGCGGGGGCCUCCUGGAGGUGUCUGUCUUGUUGCCACUCUCGAUGCCCACAUGAGAGGACCUGAGAUAAUUUCUGGCAGCCUGAGACUCCAUGGGAAAAACAGAAGAUAUGUAUCUCAAGAGCACUCCACAACAAAGAUUCUGCCUGCAAUCCUCCACUUCAAGGUCUGUUCCAGGAAACCUGUGUAACACAGUUAUGCAUAGAGUGGUCUUAGGAAGCUGACUCUAACAUGAAAAUUUAGAGUUGGAUCUUUUGCUGACAUAUUGAAUAUUCAUAAGAGCAUAUGAUACAUUUGUCUAUCAUAAACAUGUCAUUUCAAAAAACCCUCAAAGUUGCCUUGUAGAACAUAAUUUUAAAACUAGUGUGUAGGAAUAUUUCAUAUCAGUUAUUCAGUCUUCUUAAUAUCUGAACCGAAAUUAAUCUUCCAUUCUGCUUUUAUUUAUAAAUAAUGAUUUAUUGUCAGAUUCAAUAAUUUAUAUUUUCAUUUAUUCUAAGGUAGGAAAUACCAGCAUAAAAAUAAAUUAUUUGAAACAAAUCACAUUGUUGUCCCAUUUUACCAUUACUCACAUGUAGAAGAUAUUGUUUUUAACAAAAACAAUAAGAGAAACAGAAACUACCAUUUAUUAACUGAUGCUUACUGGAAGCUUUAGAAGGAUCUUAUUUAACUUUCAAUCAAGUUUUUCAUGGACAUUUUUGUUAUUGAGAAAUAAUUUUAAUUUAUCAGAUCCUCAAAGCAAAUUAUAUAGGUGCCAUUAUUAACAGAUUUUUUAAAAAAACCUGAUUCAUAGAAAAGGUUAAUGAUAUGGUUUGGAUCUUUGACCCCAUCAAAUCUCAUGUUGAAUUGCAAUCCCCAGUGCUGGAAGUGGGGCCUGGUGGGAGCUGAUUAAAUUAUGGAGGUGGAGUUCUCGUGAAUGGUAUAGCACCAUUCCUUUGGUGCUGUCUUGUGGUUGAGUUUUCAUGACAUUUGGUUGUUUAAAAGUUUGUGGCAUCUUUCCCAUCUCUCUCUUGCUCUUCCUGCAGCCAGGUGAAGGGCUGUUCCCCCUUUGCCUUCUGCCAUGAUUGUAAAUUUCCUGAGGCCUCCCCAAAAGCUGAGCAGGUGUCAGCAUCAUGCUUCCUUAACAGCCAAUGGAAUUACGAGUCAAUUAAAUCUAUUUUCCUUAUAAAUUACAAGUCUUCAGUUUUUCUUCAUAGCAGUGAGGAAAUGAACUAAUUCAGCUAGUAAAUGACAAAUGCCAUAAAAAUAGCAAAUAGCACAAGAAGAUAUCCAACCAAGACUAGGGGACUCCAGAACCUAAGGAUUUCUGAAAGCAUAGGUUUUUAAGAGUGUGAAGAAACUAAGCCUGGGACACAUUUAGGAACUCAAUUACAUAAGAAAUAAAAAUCAUAUAUAGACUAUUUAAAUUUAGA